AUUUCGCGUUAAGGAUAGUAGCGGCAUCCUUUUUUAAGUAUAAAAAAGAUAUAGCGUAUAGCCUGACUUUAA
rnacentral:sRNA from 1 species